rnacentral:rRNA from 1 species
UUGUACACACCGCCCGUCACACCAUGGGAGUUUGUAACACCCGAAGUCAGUAUCCUAACCGCAAGGGGGGAGCUGCCGAAGGUGGGAUAAGCGACUGGGGUGAAGUCGUAACAAGGUACC